rnacentral:rRNA from 1 species
AACGCGAAGAACCUUACCAGCCCUUGACAUGCCGGCUACUUGCAGAGAUGCAAGGUUCCCUUCGGGGACCGGGACACAGGUGCUGCAUGGCUGUCGUCAGCUCGUGUCGUGAGAUGUUGGGUUAAGUCCCGCAACGAGCGCAACCCUCGCCCUUAGUUGCCAGCAUUCAGUUGGGCACUCUAAGGGGACUGCCGGUGAUAAGCCGAGAGGAAGGUGGGGAUGACGUCAAGUCCUCAUGGCCCUUACGGGCUGGGCUACACACGUGCUACAAUGGUGGUGACAGUGGGCAGCGAGACAGCGAUGUCGAGCUAAUCUCCAAAAGCCAUCUCAGUUCGGAUUGCACUCUGCAACUCGAGUGCAUGAAGUUGGAAUCGCUAGUAAUCGCGGAUCAUCAUGCCGGGGUGAAUACGUUCCCGGGCCUUGUACACACCG